CCCGCUAAAGGUUGUCAGAUUUUUUAGUUUUUGGUUGAAGAAACUCUGGUGGAGGCCCGUAGCGGUCCUGACGUGCAAAUCGGUUGUCUGACCUGGGUAUAGGGCCAAAUACUAAUCGAACCAUCUAGUAGCUGG
rnacentral:ncRNA from 1 species